rnacentral:snRNA from 1 species
GAAAAAGAAGUGAACUCUUCCUU